CAGCUGCACAGCUCCAGACAAUCGUUGUCAAGGACGGGAAUGAGAUUCUAACAUGGCUGAUCUGAUUUUUCAAGAAAGGUGAAAGACCCAAAUUCAUGGAAGGGAAGUGAGUCACACAGGGAGCCAGUGGCAGAGCCACACCCCACACAGCAAUCAACGUGCUCUACUCUGCAGACCUGCAACAGAGAGGGAAGCCAGACUCUGAUGCAAGAAGGAAAGACCAUGUGUUGGCUCAGUGUGUGCAGCCUGGAGUGAGCUACUGAACUCUAAAUCCAAGGAUGACUAAUGUAAACCUAAAGGGUAAUCUGCAAAUACCUCUCCAUUAAUAUUCAAUGAUAAAUAAUAUUGCUUUAGAAUCAAAUUCACAUAAAUGGAAACUUCAGCUGUAUGUCAGCACCCUGGGAACAUUAAAUUGUAGGCCACGUCUUGUA
rnacentral:antisense_RNA from 1 species